AGGAUUCGAAGGAGUCUUAAUUGUUCUUACCGCGCCAUUUAACACAACAGAUGUUUUGCAUCAACUCACAUUGAUAUUCAUUGUUUAAAGAAAUUUAAUUUCACACACUUAAAUAUUGCUAACGUUAGUAAUAAAUUUCAAUGUGAUAUAUAUUGUUUAAUUAUAAAAGAACAGUUUAAUUUCGCACGCUCGCAUUUCUGGCUCAGUCUUGAUCGAAAGUGAAGCUGUUUUUUUGUCGUUCUCAUCUGAGAAGAGUACGCAAAGUUUUGAUUCAACAACAACAUAAACAAGUAUUGCAUAUGGCGAUUUCAUCUAACAAAAUCAUUUUAUUGGUCGUCAUCCUGUCUGUUGCUAUGGUAACAGAAGUGGCUCCAACCUGGUAUUCUAAUUUACAAGGCAAGAAGGUUGACAAAAGAGACCAUUGGCUGGAGGACCGAAAACAUCACACGAGAAAAGACGGGCUUGAUAAUAUGAUCAACAGUGGCGCGGGUAAUGGUAUGGAUAGCUUUGUUGAUGAGCUCGAGGGAAGUACAUAAAAGAGCAGCAAAGGUGGAAAUAUCGUCGUAUUUAUGAGCUAUUGUCAUGUUAAAUUAUUAAGAUUGUUGAAUCGAUAAUUGAUCAAUGUAAAAUUAUGUUACUAUAUAGAAUAAAGACUUAGGUGUUGAACGCUUAAAACAUGA